rnacentral:rRNA from 1 species
GUGGGGAAUAUUGGACAAUGGGCGCAAGCCUGAUCCAGCCAUGCCGCGUGAGUGAUGAAGGCCUUAGGGUUGUAAAGCUCUUUCGUCAGGGAAGAUAAUGACGGUACCUGAAGAAGAAGCCCCGGCUAACUUCGUGCCAGCAGCCGCGGUAAUACGAAGGGGGCUAGCGUUGCUCGGAAUCACUGGGCGUAAAGCGCACGUAGGCGGCUUUCUAAGUCAGGGGUGAAAUCCUGGAGCUCAACUCCAGAACUGCCUUUGAUACUGGAGAGCUUGAGUUCGGGAAAGGUGAGUGGAACUGCGAGUGUAGAGGUGAAAUUCGUAGAUAUUCGCAAGAACACCAGUGGCGAAGGCGGCUCACUGGCCCGAUACUGACGCUGAGGUGCGAAAGCGUGGGGAGCAAACAGGAUUAGAAACCCGAGUAGUCC